CUUUGCUUUCUAAGGUAUUUUAUUUAAUGGAACUAUUUUUCUUUUUUUUUUUUAAAAAAACAAAACAUUUCAUUGGAAAUGUCACAUUUGCAAUCCCAGUUCAUUCAUGUUUUCACAGCUUUGUUGAGCCCCUGUGGAGGAUUACACUACAAGUUUAAUUCUGCAGGUUUCUUUGAAAAGAACCAAACUGUAUGAAUUUUAAUACUCUGCUCUUAUAAAGCAUCUCCUUCUGUAUUUUUUUUUCCCUACAAUAUACAAAAGGAACUCUGCUUAUUUUACAGCUUUGCAGUCCCCCAAAAGACCACGAAGUCCUGGGAGUAAUUCAAAGGUUCCUGAAAUUGAGGUCACCGUGGAAGGCCCUAAUAACAACAAUCCUCAAACCUCAGCUGUUCGAACCCCGACCCAGACUAACGGUUCUAACGUUCCCUUCAAGCCACGAGGGAGAGAGUUUUCCUUUGAGGCCUGGAAUGCCAAAAUCACGGACCUAAAACAGAAAGUUGAAAAUCUCUUCAAUGAGAAAUGUGGGGAAGCUCUUGGCCUUAAACAAGCUGUGAAGGUGCCGUUCGCGUUAUUUGAGUCUUUCCCGGAAGACUUUUAUGUGGAAGGCUUACCUGAGGGUGUGCCAUUCCGAAGACCAUCGACUUUUGGCAUUC
rnacentral:lncRNA from 1 species